rnacentral:rRNA from 1 species
CCUACGGGUGGCAGCAGUGAGGAAUAUUGGUCAAUGGGAGAGAUCCUGAACCAGCCAAGCCGCGUGAGGGAAGACGGCCCUAUGGGUUGUAAACCUCUUUUGUCGGAGAACAAAACCCGGGACGUGUCCCGGACUGCGUGUAUCCGAAGAAAAAGCAUCGGCUAACUCCGUUCCAGCAGCCGCGGCAAUACGGAGGGAGCAAGCGUUGUCCGGAAUUACUGGGCGUAAAGGGCGCGUAGGUGGGCGCUUAAGUCAGGUGUGAAAACCCCGGGCUCAACCUGGAGACUGCACUUGAAACUGGGUGUCUUGAGGGCAGGAGAGGGAGGUGGAAUUCCUAGUGUAGCGGUGAAAUGCGUAGAUAUUAGGAGGAACACCAGUGGCGAAGGCGGCUUUCUGGACUGUACCUGACGCUGAGGCGCGAAAGCGUGGGUAGCGAACGGGAUUAGAUACCCCUGUAGUC